rnacentral:lncRNA from 10 species
CUCCAAUUUAAAAAUUUGUUUUUUCACUAGCUGCUGUCUGCAAUGACCAUCCUGACCCUGUUCUUGAUUAAACUGUGUUUUUGAGAUCUUUUCUAGGGGUGUUUUCCACCAUGGGUUCAUCUCACAAUGUCUUCAGAUCUACCAAACACUCCCUACAUCUGCCACCAAUCAGACCUAGGUUUAUCUCCUUUAUUUUCAUUGAACCAAAAAGGAUUAAUAUAAUAAACCUUUUGUUUCUGUGACUUCACUCGUUUUAAGUUCAGUGGUCCUUUGGUUUCUGUUGAGAUACUUUGGGGUGUGUAUUUUACCAUCAGCUUUUCCAUGGGGCAAAGCUGUGCCAUUUUUACCGAUUGUGUCUCAGUUGGAAAUGAGCGUUCAGCUUUAAUUAACCAGAGCAAAAAACUGAUGCAGGGCCCAGCAGUCUUCAACACCACUUCUGAAUGAUGACUAUGAUGCUCUGAUUUCAACACUCUGAUGAGGAAGAAGCAAAUGCUGCCAUGUUUUCUAUUGUCUUUUGUUGUUCCUUGCAGGAAAGGUGAGACUUAAGUGAAACUUAAAGGUGGAAGAAGAAUUAAGUCCUCCCAUAGUUUAGAGAUACCUUUUGAGAUUAGCUUGAAUUUCCAGAAAGUUAAAAGUUACACCGACAUACAAGUUGGAGUGUUACAAUACAAAUAGGACUGUAUUUUAUAAUAAUAAAGUAUUACUAAUUUAUAGGUGUUAUUUUACAAUAAUUAGUGUUGUAUUAUUACAAUAAUUAGUAACUGGCAAAGAGAAGAACAUUCCAGGCAGAGUGAACUACAGAAGCAAAGAACUAAGGUGCAUGACAUGGAAAGAAUGGUGGAAAUAAAUCUCAAAAAGCUUGUUUGGAGACAAAUUGUGAAGGCUCUGGAAUGCCAUAAUAAUUGGAGUUUGGACUUUGUUCUCUGGGCAAUAGGAAACCCCAAAUGCUUCAAGAGACAAGAGACAUGAUCAUAUUUAUUUGUUAAGUAAAGGACUUUGGUAUCAAUGUAGAGGAAGGAUGGGAAGAGGUCCAGGAUACCAGUUAGAAGGCAGUUUAAAUAGUUCAGGGAGAUGAUGGUCCAAAUUAAGGCAGUUUUGGUAUAAAUGGGUCAUACUGGAAAAAAUUAUGUCAGAGAAGGUAUUCAUGAGACUUAGUCAUAUAAAGGGCAGAAAGAUAACUUGGGGGAAAAAUGAUCUAAAUCAUUAUGAGCCUGAGAUUAAAAGGGUACCAUUAAUAAAGAAGGGAUUCUUGGAGGAGGUAUUUAGUAGAGUUUGUGUUAAGUCUGUUGAAUUUGAAGUGUUCCUGUGACAUCUAAAUGACAGAGUCCAGAGAGCUAGAAUUUUGGGGUUAGAGCUCAGAAAAACGGUUGAGACUAGAGAUAAAUAUUUGGAAGUCUUCAGCAUAGUCAAGAUAGGUGAAAUUUCAGAAGUGGACAAGGUUGCCUAUAGGGAGAGAGUAUAGCAUGGAAGAAGAGACAGCUCAGGACGGAACGUUAUAGUUGAGGAGUUGCCAGAAAAGAGGCUGAGAAAGCCAUCCGAGAUAGAAGGACCACACUGCAGAAGCUAACGAAGGAAGUAGCAAUUGUUCAGAAAGACCGUUUAAAGGAAACAUUAAGUUUCGAUUAUAAAGAAGUCACCAGGUGCCUUCUGAAAAGGCAUUUCCAAGGAAUGAGAAACAGGAAUGAAAUCCUAGUGGUUGGGGCUUGGGUAGGAGGCAAAGACGUAUAAGUGAGGCACAAAAACUGCUCUUGAGAAAGAUUUUGUAGUGAAGGAAAGAGGAGAAAUGUGGCUUGAAAGGAAGAAGUUUCUAUUUCUCUAGGUCAUUGGUUUGCAAAGCACUUUUACAUCCACGGGGUCACUUUAUUUCCAAGGCAACUCUGGAAGGUAGGAAGGGCAAAUAGUUUAUACUCUUGGGAACAAACCGAGGUUAAAAAGAAGUUAAAAGGCUGGCCCAAAGUCAAUUAUAGCAAAUAAGGGGAAGAACUGGAUUUAGAAUUCAGGUCAUUUGACUCUUAUUCCAAUGAUCUUUCUACUGUGCCCAAACAGAACAUUUCUAGAGUAUUUGCUCUAUUUGGAUAUUGGAUACUAGGCAGCAUUGAGCUCCUUGUUAAAGGGUUUUGACCUCGUCUGGGGUUAAUGGCAAGCUGCUGGAAGGUUUUAUGCCAGGGAAUGCUAUGUUUCAGUUAAUGCUUAAUGGAAACAAAUCUGGCAGUGAGGUGUAGGAUGUGUCAGCAGAACAGACACCUGGUGGUGGGGGGGUUAGAAAAUGAGGACAAUUAGCUUCAAACAGAAACACAACUUUUGAUACGCAUUCAAUCACAUGCUGAGAAAGUGAUUUCCCUUCAGGUCUCCAGACCCUAUUCUAUUUGUAUUCUUCAAGAGAAGGUCUCAGUUUGCCAGUGUAUUUUUAACAUGUUUCAAAUACCCUCUCUCUCUCUUUUUUUUUUGAGACAGACCCAGGCUGGAGUGCAAUGGCACGAUCUCCGCUCACUGCAACCACCGCCUCCUUGUCCGCAAACAAGCUUUUUGAGCUUUGUUUCCACCAUUCUUUCCAUGUCAUGCACCUUAGUUCUUUGCUUCUAUAGUUCACUCUGCCUGGAAUGUUCUUCUUCUCCUCUUUACUGGUGACAAUUACAGGGUCAGGGACAUUGAACAAGAUCACGAGGUCAGGAGAUUGAGACCUUCCUGGCUCAAUCUCUACAGUGAAACCCCAUCUCUACUAAAA